rnacentral:rRNA from 1 species
CCUANGGGUGGCAGCAGUGGGGAAUAUUGGGCAAUGGGCGAAAGCCUGACCCAGCGACGCCGCGUGGGCGAUGAAGGCCUUCGGGUUGUAAAGCCCUUUCGUGUGGAAAGAACAGCCCUGUGACUAAUACUCGCGGGGUCUGACGGUACCACAAGAAGAAGCACCGGCUAACUCCGUGCCAGCAGCCGCGGUAAUACGGAGGGUGCAAGCGUUGUUCGGAAUUAUUGGGCGUAAAGGGCGCGUAGGCGGUAGCGUAAGUCAGAUGUGAAAUCCUUCGGCUUAACUGAAGAACUGCAUUUGAUACUGCGCAACUAGAGUACUGGAGAGGGAAAUGGAAUUCCCGGUGUAGAGGUGAAAUUCGUAGAUAUCGGGAGGAACACCAGUGGCGAAGGCGAUUUCCUGGCCAGAUACUGACGCUGAGGCGCGAAAGCGUGGGGAGCAAACAGGAUUAGAUACCCCUNUANUC